rnacentral:rRNA from 1 species
AGAGUUUGAUCCUGGCUCAGAACGAACGCUGGCGGCGCGCCUAAUACAUGCAAGUCGAGCGAGAAGGUGUAGCAAUACACUUGUAAAGCGGCGAACGGGUGAGGAAUGCAUGGGUAACCUACCCUCGAGUGGGGAAUAACUAGCCGAAAGGUUAGCUAAUACCGCAUACGUUUCCGGGACUUCGGUUCCGGAAAGAAAGCAAUACCGUGGGUAUUGCGCUCAUGGAUGGGCUCAUGUCCUAUCAGCUUGUUGGUGAGGUAACGGCUCACCAAGGCUCCGACGGGUAGCUGGUCUGAGAGGACGAUCAGCCACACUGGCACUGCGACACGGGCCAGACUCCUACGGGAGGCAGCAGUAAGGAAUAUUGCGCAAUGGACGAAAGUCUGACGCAGCGACGCCGCGUGGGGGAUGAAGGUCUUCGGAUUGUAAACCCCUUUCGGGAGGGAAGAUGGAGUGGGUAACCACUUGGACGGUACCUCCAGAAGCAGCCACGGCUAACUUCGUGCCAGCAGCCGCGGUAAUACGAAGGUGGCAAGCGUUGUUCGGAUUCACUGGGCGUACAGGGAGCGUAGGCGGUUGGGUAAGCCCUCCGUGAAAUCUCCGGGCCUAACCCGGAAAGUGCAGAGGGGACUGCUCAGCUAGAGGAUGGGAGAGGAGCGCGGAAUUCCCGGUGUAGCGGUGAAAUGCGUAGAGAUCGGGAGGAAGGCCGGUGGCGAAGGCGGCGCUCUGGAACAUUUCUGACGCUGAGGCUCGAAAGCGUGGGGAGCAAACAGGAUUAGAUACCCUGGGUAGUCCACGCC